GGAAUAUUGGAAACUUGACAAAACUUCAACAUCUUCAACUUGGUGAAAAUAACAUAGAAGGUGAUAUACCACAAGGUAUUGGAAAACUGGAAAUGCUUCAAAAGCUAGAUCUAUUUCAUAAUAAUUUACAAGGUCAUAUACCAAAAGGCAUUGGAAACUUGACUACACUUCAAGCGUUAUAUCUCAGUGCCAA